AUGAACGCUGGCGGCGUGCCUAAUACAUGCAAGUCGAGCGAACGGACGAGAAGCUUGCUUCUCUGAUGUUAGCGGCGGACGGGUGAGUAACACGUGGAUAACCUACCUAUAAGACUGGGAUAACUUCGGGAAACCGGAGCUAAUACCGGAUAAUAUUUUGAACCGCAUGGUUCAAAAGUGAAAGACGGUCUUGCUGUCACUUAUAGAUGGAUCCGCGCUGCAUUAGCUAGUUGGUAAGGUAACGGCUUACCAAGGCAACGAUGCAUAGCCGACCUGAGAGGAUGGUCGACCACACAGGAACUGAGACACGGUCCAGACUCCUACGGGAGGCAGCAGGAGGGAAUCUUCCGCAAUGGGCGAAAGGCUGGCGGAGCAACGCCGCGGGAGUGAAGGUCUUCGGAUCGUAAAACUCUGUUAUUAGGGAAGAACAUAUGUGUAAGUAACUGUGCACAUCUUGACGGUACCUAAUCAGAAAGCCACGGCUAACUACGUG
rnacentral:rRNA from 1 species